ensembl:lncRNA
AUCUUUCUUCUUCUCCUGUUUUCUCUGCAUCAAGGUCAGCAUGAUAGCACUGUCUCUCUAUGCUUAGGGAGAGGCCUGUCCCGUACAUCCCGUGCCCCCGCAAGACGCCUACUACAACACUGGAUAAAUUUCUAUUCAGAUGCAACUCAGGAUUACAGUUCAAGGUCUUGCCUUGCUUAUAUCAUCAGUGCACUGCCAUUACAUCACCCACAGUAUGGGAACACUUCAUGAUUCACUGACUACUAAGUAUGAAAGGUGGACCAUUUUUUUUCCAGCAGCUGGCUGCUUUUCAAGGGUGCGACUGCUUUUUGCCCCCUGCAGAUGAUAAGCAGGCAGGCAUGCUGGCAGGACUCACAGGAGCCAGCUGUGACCUUGCCUUUGUGGCUGUUGGCUCUGCCUGCAGGAGACUUGCAGCUCUGCUGGAUGCCUGCUGAAUCCCUGUGGUCUCGCCAGAAUGUUUAUCCAUGAUGCUGCGGCUCCUGCUUCAUGACCAUGCUCCACGUCACCCACAAUCAGACUGUGUGCUGUCCCUGCUUCCUGAGCUGUUGAUCCAAGGAUCUGUAAAAUGACAGAAUUAGCCUUUUGUGGGGGGAGCAGGUAAUGGAUGAGACAAAUGAAUUCCAUCCUUCAUCCUCCCAGGAAGAGUAGAAGAAUCUCCACUAAUGUACUAGAUAAUGUACAGAUAAUUUUGUAGGUUGGAGUCUAAUGUCAGCACUGCCAUUUUGAUGGACCAUUAUGUUCCUCAUACCCUUUUGUGGAGCCUUUCAGAUCUGCUUUUCGUAGUUACAAAUACAGAACUCUGUAACCUGGAGGAGUGGCAGCAAGGGAUCUGCUCCAGCUCUGAGCACAGGGUUAUGCCCUUUAUACAGAGAAAAGCAAGAAGCAUAAAACAUACAACUCUGAUUGAUUUCUCCACUCAGGCUUUGUCACUGUUCACAGAAGCAGCCAUACUGAACAGAAAUGUACACAAUCUGAACCUACCUGUCAGACAUAUGUGUUCUUAGUAUAAAAGCAGAAAUUAAUAUUUUGUCCUCUUGUCCUAUCAAAUGUAUCUUAUCAUCUGCCCAUCAUUUGCUGAAAUGUCCUGCUGAAUGUGUAAGCAGGCCCAUCAUCCUGUACCAACAGGGAUGCUGGGCUUUCUUGCCAUUAUUAUUAUUAUGGAUGCACUGUGUCUGCACUGUGAGUAAAGAGCUCACACAAAAUCAAAUGACUGCUUUCAGACACAGAUAACAGAAACAAGCAAACAAACAAACAAACAAAAACAACCAACACUGAUUAUGCUGUAUGUAUUUAUCUGCAGCUUCCCUGAAGCCAGGAUGGCUUCACUCAGCUGUCACUUCCUUAGGCUGAUUUGCGGGACUGUGCAGGCUAUAGCAUUUCUAAAGGCAUAGUUUGCAAGUGAAUGCAUCUGUGGUACGUUCUUCAAGACACGUUCUUCAUUUUGAGAUCUGGGUGGGUUUUUUUUUUUUUUUUUUAUUUAAUCAUCCUUUAACUCCCACACGUUCUCAUUGUAUAUAUGCUUGCAAAUUUCCCAGCAGAAGAAUAAAACUCCACUGGAGCAUAUUGUACUU